UAGAUGGAGCCUACGCAUUCUGACCAGUGAUGGUGGUAUGUCAGCUUCAUUGUACCAAGAAACGCCUAGCAAACUGGUAAAGCAGACACCUGGAUCAACUGUUCAACAUGCUCAAUACAAUGGUCUCUUGCAAUAAGUAGCCCAGGAAAGCAGAAAAUUGUAUGACAAAGGAAAAGUGAUCAAGGCAGGUGUAAUGGAAGCUCAUGAGGGAAGUUCUUCCUGUCAUCACAGAUGUCCUCAGAGUGCUCUUCUCCAUGGGAAAAACUGUGUCCCUGUCCCAUCAGCCAAAAAACAUGCAAUCCUGGGAAGGACCUUUCCAGUGCUGUCUCAUUAACCAGAUGACCCCCCAGACAUUGUCAGCACGGCCCAGCCAAGGUGAUUGAUCACCAGAGAACAGAGAAGAGUGUUCAGUUCUCUCCUUCACAGACGCCCUUCUGCCCGCCACACCAACGGAU